rnacentral:rRNA from 1 species
UACGUAGGGUGCAAACGUUGUUCGGAAUUACUGGGCGUAAAGCGAGUGUAGGCGGUCUGAAAAGUCAGGUGUGAAAGCCCCGGGCUCAACUCGGGAAGUGCACUUGAAACUGCCAGGCUAGAGUAUCGGAGAGGUUGGUGGAAUUCUCGGUGUAGAGGUGAAAUUCGUAGAUAUCGAGAGGAACACCGGUGGCGAAGGCGGCCAACUGGACGAAUACUGACGCUGAGACUCGAAAGCGUGGGGAGCAAACAGG